UCUCCAAUGCAUGAAAGUAAAAAGUGAAAGUGAAGUCACUCAGUCAUGUCUGACUCUUCACGACCCCAUGGACUGCAGCCUACCAGGCUCCUCCGCCCAUGGGAUUUUCAGGAAAUAGUUAUUACAAAUGCUGAAACAAAGGUCCCUGGCUGGAGACCUCUUUGCUACCAAGUGUCAAAAGUGAGACUCAGCCCACGUUUUCUGACUCCAUGUCCAACACUGUUAAUGCAGUCAAAGCCCUUUUCUGACAGAAAAUAUAAGCCUCACAUCCUUAUAAAACUGAAGCAGUGUAUUAUCUCAUGUGGACAGAUGGCUAUGACUUUAUACACCAAGAAAACCUAUUUAGGCAGAUGUUUCAUUGAUGACAAGAAGUGUAAACAUGACCCUAAUUAAUGGAUUUGCUAAAAGUUAUUGGUUGCUCCUUGUCAGAACUGUUGUUUUUCCUGUCACUCCUCAGAUUGGAUACACAGAGAAAAAUUAAGCAUGAAGAAAAUUGGCAUUUAAAAUGUGUUUAUUCUUUGCCAUCAAGCCAAAUAGAACUUUUCAUUCAAAAAAAGGAAUGAAGAGUUCAUUGUGCUAUGGAAAAUCACAUGUGAGAAGAAGAUAGAAAAAUUCAAGUAAGAUUAAUACCACUUUUGACAAAAUGAGGAAAUAGAAGUCUCCUUGCCAAGAAUUCUGCAGGGGCAUAAAGGCUAAGAUUGGACUGAUCUCCAAGUUCAUGGGUGAUCCCAAAUCUGUGCACCCUUUGGGUUUAUUCUUAAGAAGGCGACAUCAUCCCCUUGUCUCCUGCCUAGUCCACCAACGAUGCAAGCCGUUCUUAUUCAGCCCUGGCCACUCCCAAGCGACUCCCUAAUGCCUGCAUUAACUUCAAACCCAGUAAAUGAUCAAGUUUCCUUCAGACUGUCAGCAGGCCCUCUGACCCCCAGCUCUGUCCCUUUCUACAACUUCAGCAGAAGGUAUUUGCAAGCUCUUUAAACUGAUCCUUGCUGAGAAAAGCCGUUUUAUGAGUCUUGGGCUUUUAAAAGGUCUUGGAACUCACAGGACCCCCUCUUUGAGGGCUGACUUGCUGAUACAUCAUUAUUGCUUACCCUGCUGCAGAAGCAGGUGGGCGGCUAGGCUUGCAGUGGGAGAAUCUGUUAAUUAGAAAUCGGUCCUCAUAGAGGGUCGUAAGGGAAACGUUCAAUUUGCACCUCUCUUAGCAGAUCCUCCCUAGAGUUAAUUAAAAGCUAUUGCUCCCACCAGUGAAACCUUCAUGGCUGUGCUGAAUUCUCUGCAGCUGCCAAACAUGUACAAAGGGGAGAAAGGUUUCAAGCUGGAUUCCUUCCCAGGAGGAAGGUUCUUUCAUUGUGCAAAUUCCAGGGAGGUGGCAUCUCAGGGGAGAAGACAGGGAGGAGUAGUUGGGGCACGAAGGAGGAGGGCAGCCACAUCUCCCACUGCCAGGGAAGCAGAGAAGUUGAGACUCCAGGCCAACAGGAUGAAGGCUGAGCCACGGCGAGGAGGACAGUGGAAUUAAAAAUCGCCAGGGGAGUUCCUACACUCAGAAUUAUCCCUGUCUGCAGACUGGGGGAAAAGCAGUUGGUCCGGAUAAUAAAAUAAACCUUUAGUUCCCCUA